UUAAGAAGUUCAAAUAACUGACCAAAUCACACACACCAUAUAUGGGCAGGUCUAUAAUCAGAAAACACAACUUUUGAUGUGCAGCCAAUUUAGAUGAGUUUGUAAAAUGAGGAUAAAGCUCAUUUCCCACACUUUUAGAAGAGAAUUGGAGCUAAGUAGCUAGUAUGAUAAGUAAAUAAUAUCCCCUUUAACUGUCACUGGGAUUACAAUUUCCUUUAGGAAAGAUGAAAUCACUUAUGAAUUAAAUAAAAAGCAUUUUUAAAAACUCACCUGUACAAAAAAGGAAAAAUUCUUUUCAAAUUCAGCAUCUUCUAUCAACAUAGGCCUUCCAUGAAAAUAUAGUCCAGAAUACCCAGAUAAUAAAUUUGCCAAAUACAGAGUCAUUUAGGAAGUAAGCUAAGUAAAUUCAGCUUAUAUUAUAGGUAAACUAAUUUCUAUUGUUUGAAAUAUAAAGAAAUGCUACUGAUAAUAGAAGCAUUGAUAGUAAUUGUUUCAUAGACAUUAUGGCCCUAUUUUCUUUAAUGGCCUGUUAUGAACAUAGUGAGAGAAAAACUGGACACAAGGGAUGGUUAUAGCCUUGGCAGAAGUUGGAUAGAUGCUCAUCAAAUCUAUUUCUUCUUCCUAUGCACAGAAAUAAACUACAUUAUUCAGUCUUUUGGCAUCUAGGCAAAGCCAGUUUGACAAUUUUGUGCCCAAAAAAUGUUUUGGAAGUAAUACAUCACUUUGGACCAAUGCAAUAGUGACAAGUAGAUUCUAAAAUGUUCCCCAUUGAUCCUUGCCUCCUGGUUUUCACAUACUUAUGUGAAAUCCCUUCCCCUUAAAUAUGGGCUGGCUGGUGAGUUUUUUCCUUCCAGUUGAAUAUGGCAAUGGUCAUAGGAUGUCAUUUCCACAAUUGACUAUAUAAGCUUGUGACUUCCAUAUGCUACGUGUCUCUCUCUUCUUCCCUCCUUCCCUCUUCUCCCCUCUCUGGUCCUCUCUCUGUCUUUUCCCCUUCUCUCUUCUACUCCUCAUCUCCUCUCCCUUCCCUCUCUCUGUUUUUCUCUCUUGCUGAUGAAGCAAACUGCCCUGUUGAAAGAGGCUCACACAGCAAGGAACUAAUACCCUGAGUCCAACAGCCCUCAAGGAACUGAAUCCUGCCAACAGUCAUAUAAGUGAGUUUGAAUAAGGAUUCUUUCCCAUUUGAGCCUUCAGAUAAAACUCCAGUUCUGCCUGACACCUUGAUUGCAGCCUCAGACAGAUCUCGAAACAAUGUACCCAGCUAGGCCAUGUCUAGAUACCUGACCAGAAACUGUGAAAUAAUGUGUGUGCCUCUUUGUCCUGCUAAGUUUUGGCAUAAUUCAUUAUGCAGCAAUAGGUAAAUAAAAAGGCAGUUAAGAAUAGGCAUGCCUUAUUAUGUUUCUUCUUCCUUCAGCCAUCUGCUGACUAGAGGACACCAUGACACCAGAGCAACACUGAGACCAUGGCUUAAAGAUGAUGGAGCCUCAGCAUGAAAGAAAAUUAAAUCCCUGAAAGGCUAAGUAUGUCAAAGCUCUUCUCCCUUGACAAUAAGAGACAAUUAAGCUGUUAUCUGGUUAAACCAUUAAGAUUAAGGAAUAUUUGUUAUAGCAGGUAGCUUAGCCUGCCCUAAGAAACUUGUGUCAAAUGGAAGCUUAUGCUUCUGGCCAUAUGUUUACCAAAUAUUUUCUAGAUGUAAUUAAAGAUGUAUUACCUCUUAUUAAUACUAAUUUUUACUCUUCAAAAAUUGCAAAGCCAUUCCCUGAAGACCUUAUAUAUUUUUGUCUUUUUUCCUUUGUUCCUACUACCCCCUCUCCCUGGAAUUACUUCCUUGCCAACUUCUCUGCUUAGAGAGCUCUCACUAAUCCUCAGUGACUACCUUUAAUAUCUACUUUGGUGCAUCUUCAUUAGCUCUAGGCGAAAUCACGUCUUGUUAGAGUUAAACCUCCAUGAGUCUAUUAAAAAUGGCUUUAACAGCUUUCUGAUUAGUGAAACUUUUUAAUGAGGAAAAUUGGUAGUAUCUAUUGGCAUUUAAAAUGUACAUAUUGCUUAAUCUAAAUUUCCAUUGAUAGAAAUUUAAGGAUACAGACCUUUAUUUUAUAUACAUUCCAGCAAAGUUUAGGAUUGGAGAAAAAUAGAGACAACCUAAAUAGUAAUUAAUAGGGAACUUGUUAAUAGCCUACGGUAGGUCUAUGUGAUUUAUAUGUGCAGGUAUGUUUUCAUAUUUGACCAAAAUCAAUUUCCAAGAUAAAUUAUUUAGUAAAAAAUAAAUGAUAGAAUGUUCAUACACACAUACACAUAAAGUUUUUCUGUUUUGUAUGAAAAAUACGUAAAUACAUAUAUACUUGUAUAUACCUGGAAAUUAUGAAUGGAUACACAAGUAGUCACAUCUUUGAAAGGGGAAAGGAAGCAAAGCUAAAGGCAAAUUUUUAUGAGCAUUUAUUGCUUUUGUUUUAAAAGCUUUUAAAAUAUUUUAUGCAGCAAAAUAAAUGGACUUCAGUUGGGGAAUGGUUGGAUUAAUUUUGACUGCUGUAUUGUGGAGUAUUAUGAAAUCACUAAAAAGAAUAACUUAGAGCUUUGUAGUAGGACGAGUAAUCGCCACCCACAGAUAUCAGGCUCUAAUACCAAAGGCCUAUAAUAUUACCUUCUAUGAAAGGGAAAAGGAAGCAAAGUUGAAGGUAAAUUUUUAUGAGCAUUUAUGAAGUUAUAGAAAAGAAUCUGGAAAUGAAUAGAUAUAUAUUUAUAUGUAUUACUGAAUCACUUUGCUGUACACCUCAAAUUAGCACAUUGUAAACACACUUCAAUUUAAAAAAUGGUUUUAAAAAAGCAUUUGUGACAGUUGUCUCUUCAAAGAUAAUUGCAGCAAGGUCUCCCAUUGAUACACUGUUCUUGGGGUGAUGUUGACAUUCCUCCAUCACUGGGUGGGGUCUUCAUUCUCUCUUUCUGAAUCUGGGAGGUCCUAAGACUACAGUGGAAAUAAUGCUUAAUGACCCCCAAAGAGAGGUCAUUAAAAAGCUGUACGCUCUCCUAUCUCUGUCUCUUAGGGUACGCACCUUGGGAGUCCGGAGUUAAUGUGUAAGGAGCCACCAUGCUGAGAAAUCAUAUAGAGAAACCAUGUAAAAAUGGAAAGAGAUGGCCAUGGAGCUCCCAAAGUUCCAGUUCCCGUGAUGAGCAGGUGAAACAGCUCUCUGAGAAAGGAAAAGCCCUGAUGUAUAUAUAGCAUUUGCAAUUGCCAUGGUAUAAAUAGGCCCACCACGGUCUAUCUUAAGCUACCAGAAAUUUAGAAUUCUGCUCGAAGAAUUUGUGAACAUUUAACAAUUGGCCUUUGCAUGCUACCCUCCCGCUUCCAGCUGUUGGUAUUCCCAACCCCAGUGCCAGACGUAAGUGAGGAUGUGAAAUGACCUUUGUCCCGACCGUGGUCAGACGGUAACUUCAUGAGAGAUUCCACACUAGAAUGACCCCUCUGAGCCACUCCCAAAUUCCUACCCACAGCCAAUGUGAGAGAUAAUGAUUACACGUGUUUAAGCCAAUGCGUUUCAGGAUAAUUGAUAGCAGCCAUAGUUACUGAAACAAUCUUCCAGGUAAAAAUAACUAUAGUCAUUAUCUAUCUAUCUACAUCUAUAUGUCUAUAUACAUGUAUAUGUGUGCCUCUUUCCCCCUUCACCUCUUUGGAAUUCUGGAGGUAUUUAUGGCUUCGCCUCCCUCCUCAAUCUGUGGGAUGAUUGGGGAAGGGUUGUUCUGGGAAAGAGGAGCACUCCCUGCUCAGCGUCUCUUGCCCAUCUCCCACGCCUGCAGCCUGUCCUCACAGCCCCUCUCCCCUGUGUGGCCCUGCCCUAAUUUCAUUAUAGAUUUUGUGAAAUGUUAAAAUACACACACACACACACACACACACACACACACACACACACAUAUGUGCAAUGCCAUAGAGCAAGGAACCUGGGAGCCUUGCAAAUUAUUCCCAUGUGAAACAGUUUAGACCAGGAAUAUUCCUCAAAGGGAAUCUUUGUCCUAAUUAAGAGAAAUCCACCAGCCCACCUCCCUGGGGUCUAGAAUGGGCAUUUUAUUCCAUUAUACAUCCUUAUCUAGUUCUCCAUUUUUCAAGAGGCUGUCACCAGUUAGCCUGAUUGUGAAAACACCUCCCUCAACUGCAUAUCUAAAAUUUGUGUGCUGUGUUCCCAGGAUGUUUUUAGUAGAUUCUGACAUUCUUGUCCAGCAAAACCCAGGGUCACUGUCUCUAGGGAACUGCUGUUAGUAACUUCUGGCUCCUUUUUCCAUGGAGGUUUACCUGGGCACUCUCAAUUCUUAUGGUCUAAUCAUAUUUCUCAUAGUUGCCAUAAGGGCAAAAAGCAAUUUGGUGAUCACUCCUAGGCCCUCCAAACCUCCAGGAAAUGUCUAUCUCAGCAUCACUAAACACACACAGAUUUUUCUGUGCAAUUACCCAUUAUUGUGUGGUCAUUAGCAGCACAGAAUCUGGAGCCAACAUAUCUGAGUUGGAUUCCUGGCUCUUCCAUUCACUGACUAUAACGAUGCAAUUUAUUAAUCUCUUUGUGUCUUCGUUUCCCCAUCCAUAAAGGAGAAAUUAAAAAUAGCAUCUACAUAUAGAAUAGUUUGUUUGAAUUUAAUUAUGUAUGCCAAGCCAGUGUCUGCCAAAAUUGGGGCUCAAUAAAUAAUUAGUCAUCAGUUUUCAGAACACUUACAAAACUGUGAAAUGUUCCAAGCAACUGUUAGAUGAUGCCCGGACAGGGGCAGGGGCAGGAGGCGGGGGGAGAAGCAAACAUUUCAAUCUCUUCAAUCAAAGACCUACUACUUUGUGCCUUCAGCCCUAACAAAACUGUGAGAACAGUAUGUCAAGGUUACAUAUCCAGAAAUCUAUGCCCACCUCCCCUACCCUCAAGGCCUGCCCCAGGGUUAUAAAGCUUUCCCACCAUCUGCCACUUCCUCAGAUUAUGACUUUGUAAGGUGCCAGCCAGACGGCAAAUUUGAAGUCUGGGAGGCACAAGCCGUGAAAUCAUUCACACUAAUUAACCCUUUAGCUCCAAUUAACUGAGAGGAUUGGCUCUCUCCUCAUCGUCAUGUCUGUCCGUUUUACAAGCCAUGUUAUACAUCCAGUACAUGCUUGGCUCUGGGAUACAAAUGUCAACUAGAGAUGAGAGCAUUGUUUCUGCUAUUGCAGAAUACAUAGAUUGGGUUGCAGUAUAAGGAAAUCACAGAGGGUUCAAACACAGAGUACCAUCUACAGGCCACCAGAUAAAAAUAACCCAUCAAGUUCUGGAUUCCUAAAAUAUGACCAAAACAAAGCAAAAUAUUCAUUAUAUUACGCUCUUUCCAUAAAUCUGAGAAGAGCCAGGAAUCCAAGAAAGAGGAAGCCUGAAAGUAUGAAUUCAUACCACCAAGGGAGACCUUUUGAUAGAUAAUGGACUGAAAAAACAGAGAGGUCAAACAUCCUUUACAUAGGCAGAGAAACUUCCUGAUUUGCAUUUGGGCCCAUAAUCUAAUGAAAAGACCUCUAAAAAUGCAUAUAGUAACAACUAACACCUGCAUGCCACCACAAACUCGGCACUGAAAACCUCCUAUGAAGUAUUCGGUAUUCCCACUUUCACUGAAAAGGUAACUGAGUCUCAGAGAAAUUAAACUAAUAGCUCAAGGUCACACAGCUGAAACACUGCUGAAUAGAAACCUUGAACCUAGUUUCUCUAUUUCCAAUCCCAUGUUCUUUUCUCUCUUCCAGCUUCUUCACUCCCUACAGUAAGAUGAAAGGCAAUGAUUUUAUGUUCUUUCCAAGUGCAUCUAUAAAUUACAUGACUAUGUAAAAAUUAGUUCUUGAUUCUGUUAAAGCAAUACCCUUUCAUCAAGAUGGCAACCCAAAUACAUUUGCUGCAAAUCAUUUUUCUCUCCCAGAGCCAAAUAUUCUUUUAGAGAAAGGCUACACUGCUAGCAUCCAUCUAAUCAAGGAAUAAAAGAUGCAUGAACUGUUAUCCCACACACACACCCAUCCCCGCUUUCACUUCCUUCUUCCAUUCACCAGGCAAAGCCAAUUUGGUCUACAUCUGAUGCCUCGUUCACAUUUCUUUGGAAGGCGUCAACGAUGACGUUAGUACCAACUGUUUUGAGCAGCUGCAGAAAAUCAUUAACCCAAAUUGCUCAUUACACCUUUAUAGACACAGAGCAAGUCAGCCUGCUAAACACAUAUAUAAAUAUAAUGGGUAAUAAUGGUGAUGGGACGUGAUAAAAAUAAGUGAGGCUGAAGGGGUGGAAAAUAGCUGCAGAAGGAAAUUCUCCCUAUUGCACAUUCCUAGUCCGUAAAGGGCACAAAGCU
rnacentral:lncRNA from 1 species